GGCGUUGUGUCCCAGUGGUUAAGGAGAGAGAUUGGGGAUCUCUUGGGUUUGCCUGCGGAGGUUUGAGUCCCAUCGAUGUCG